ensembl:lncRNA
UGGAAUUUCACCUAAAUAAAAAAAAAAAAAAAAAAAAAAAAAAGAGUCCAAACUGCAUUGUCGUCAAUUUUUCUGAAAAACAAAGAGUAAAGUGUGAAGAGAGAGAAAAGUAGGAAAGAGGAAAAGAGUAAAGUGUGAGAAAAAAGCAAAGAGAGAAGAGAGGAAAAAGAAGAAAGUUUAAGGAAAGAACAAAGAGAAAAAGAACAAAGUGUGGAAAAAGAACAAAGUAGGAAAAUAGCAAAGUGUGAGAAAAGAGGAAAAAGAACAAAGUGUGAAAAUAGCAAAGAAAGGGGACAGAGGAAAAAAGACUAAGUGUGAGAGGAAAGGGGACAGAGGAAAAAAAACUAAGUGUGAGAGAAAAGGGGACAGAGGAAAAAAGACUAAGUGUGAGAGGAAAAAAGACUAAGUGUGAGAGAAAAGGGGACAGAGGAAAAAAGACUAAGUGUGAGAGGAAAAAAAGACUAAGUGUGAGAGAAAAGGGGACAGAGGAAAAAAGACUAAGUGUGAGAGGAAAAAAGACUAAGUGUGAGAGAAAAGGGGACAGAGGAAAAAAGACUAAGUGUGAGAGGAAAGGGGACAGAGGAAAAAAGACUAAGUGUGAGAGGAAAGGGGACAGAGGAAAAAAGACUAAGUGUGAGAGGAAAAAAGACUAAGUGUGAGAAAAGGGGACAGAGGAAAAAAGACUAAGUGUGAGAGGAAAAAAGACUAAGUGUGAGGAAAAAGAACAAAGUGUGAAAAUAGCAAAGUGUGACAAAAGAGGAAAAAGAACAAAGUGUGAAAAUAGCAAAGUGUGAGAAAAGAGGAAAAAGCAAAGUGUGAGAAAACAGGAAAAAGAACAAAGUGUGGAAAUAGCAAAGUGUGAGAAAAGAGGAAAAGAACAAAGUGUGAGAAAAGAGGAAAAAGAACAAAGUGUGAAAAUAGCAAAGUGUGAGAAAAGAGGAAAAAGAACAAAGUGUGAAAAAAGAGGAAAAAGAACAAAGUGUGAAAAUAGCAAAGUGUGAGAAAAGAGGAAAAAGAACAAAGUGAGAAAAG